CCUACGGGUGGCAGCAGUGAGGAAUAUUGGUCAAUGGGCGGGAGCCUGAACCAGCCAAGUCGCGUGAGGGAAGACGGUCCUACGGAUUGUAAACAUCUUUUGCCGGGGAGAAACGGUGUCCUUUCGAGGGCCCGAUGAGAGUACCCGGAGGAAAAGCAUCGACUAACUCCGUGCAAGCAGCCGCGGUAAUACGGAGGAUGCGAGCGAAAUCCGGAUUUAUUGGGUUUAAGGGGUGCGUAGGCGGGCGGUUAAGUGAGCGGUCAAAUGUCGGGGCUAAACCCCGGCCUGCCGUUGACACUGGCGGGCUAGAGUGGGGGAGAGGUAUGCGGAAUGCGUGGUGUAGCGGUGAAAUGCAUAGAGAUCACGCAGAACUCCGAUGGCGAAGGCAGCAUACCGGCGCUCAACUGACGCUCAUGUACGAAAGUGUGGGUAUCGAACAGGAUUAGAUACCCGGGUAGUC
rnacentral:rRNA from 1 species